GGAUAUUGUUCAAUUGGUAGAGCGUUUGCCUCACAUGCUCAAGACUCUGGGUUCACUCCCCAGAACCAUUCA
rnacentral:tRNA from 1 species